AGCUGCCGCCGCGCUUCCGCGAUGCGCGGCCCUUCCGCCGGCUGCGGGGCCCCGAGAACGCGGCGUCGGCGCCCCUCCCCUCCGCGGGGGGCUGGCCGGAAGAACGCGGGCGGCCGGCCCGGAGACCACGGGCGCCGGCUGCUUUCCCAGUUGAGCCGCUUCCCGCCUGGGGACCUGGGUGGCGCCGGGCGGAGACCCCUCUGCACCCCAGCGCCCCGCACUCCGCGGAGUUGAAUGCGCGUAACAAUCCGAGUGGCCGCCGGGCUUUGGCUCGCCUUCCUCCCGCGGGGACCCGCGGGCCGGCUGCUGCCCGGAGGCCAGCGCCCGUACGAGUUCGGGGAAAAUGCGGCUGGAGUGGGGGAAGGUGCGGGCGGGGGCUCCGGCCCUCCUUCCUCUGCUGGCCUCUGCCUUGGGCAGUCCGGCCCUGCCCGAGGCGGGGGAACCGGGAGGUAGGGCCGCACACUUGGAGGAACGUUGCCUGGGGGUUUUGUUCGCGCACCCGCCCCUUCCCCUCUCCCGGUAAAUGUUUAACACCACCGCUCAUCCCCAAGUCCAGUUCUCUAACUCUUCCUUCCUCCGGUCCUUUAGUUGAAAAAGGCUAAAUUGUUCCGUCUGGCAGAUUAGAGUGGUACAUGGGGGGAAAGAGAAAGGGAUAAAGAAGUAGGAAGAAAAUUGCCAAAACCGAGUUGAUGAAGUCCCGAGAAGCACGAGGUACUUCUCUCCGUUCCAGAUAAAUUUGCACGACACAAGAAGCGUGAUUUGAAACUAACGAUAUAUGUUAUUUAAUUGGGUUCGGUGAGCUCCUCUUAAAGGUCUCGAGUGGGGAGCACUGAGGUUGGACAGCUGUUAACCAGCAGCUGCGCUCCAGGCCAGAAGUGGCUGCACUUCAGUAGGAUGGGAGUCACCGCGUUGACCCUAGUGGGUGUUAAAUGCUUUGGAAUUCUACCAGAUACAGUUAAAAGUCCCCUUUUCGAUGUAUUAUAGUACUUUUCCUGGAAGCUAUCCUCUGUCAUUAAGUGGUAAUAAGCUACUGAAAUAGGCACUUGUCAGUUUUGCCCUUUCAAGUUAGCAGGAAUUACAUCCUCUGGACCAGAGAUGGCACAGGAGCAGUUGAGUAGAAUCAUCAUUGAAAGAUGGGCUGUACAUCUCUGAUCUGGGGAAAAUAAUAAUAAUUUUUUUUAAAAAAAAAGAUCGGCUGAACAUGGAAGAGGUUUACCCGUCAAACAAAAUUAUUUACUUCUACUUUUUGUUCAGUGACAAUACGAUUAAUCGUACUAAUAACAAAUAUGCAAAUGUUUCAUAUAAAAGUACAUAUUCUAGCAAACAUUACUAAACAGAAACCAAAUUCCAUCAGAACUUGGGGAAAAGGGCAAAAAAUAAAUAAAUUUUUAAAAGAAAGAAAUCAAAUUCCAAAAAUGUGAAUUUUAAUGGAAUAUUGUUCCCCUAAAUAGGAAACUAUGUGGUACUUAAAAGGUUUUAUCCUCAGGAUGCCUUCUAAUAAUCCUUUGUGUUUAUUCAUUAUAAUCACCACCUAAAAAUUAGUAGCAGUAUACCAGCUUUAUUAAAGAUGUAUAGCACCAAACAUCCUUCUGUCAUUGCAAUGUCAAAAUGUGUAAUUAAUCAUUUAUUUUUGUGAUGAUAUGAGUCUCCCCACUCUGCUGUAAGUUCUCUGAGAGCAGGGACUACGUCUGUUCUGCUCAAGGGUGUAUGCCUGGAGCCAGUACUUGCUGGCACUAGUGGCCGCUUUAAUACUUGCUGAAUUCAUGAAUGUACUUAGGGAGUGGGGAGGAGUUUGAAGGGAAAGGUCGUGCUUUCCGGUUUGGAUAUGUUGAGUUUGACCUGUUUCAUUCCAGUGGAAUCCACUUGUUCCAAGGCCAGUUUCCCUGCUCACUGUUCCUUUGCUUGGCAUACUCAGUCCACACAUUCAAAACCCCCUCUAACUUCUUCCAGUUAAUAGGCCAUCAUUUAUACCUAUUUGCCUGGGGUGGGGGAGAUUUGUUCGAAGUGGCCUUUACUGUGGCAGUGUAUAAUACGCAUCCUCCUCUGCCCUCUUAAGCACAUACCCCCUUUACAGUUUUUACUGAAUUCCUGGGAAAAUUGUCCCAUUUACCUCAGCAUAAAAAUAGACCAGCAUCUGGUCACAUGCCAGCCCAAAUCUAGGACUUUGCUGGAAACUUCCUUAACUGUUGGGUGACCAACAGUGACAGAAAGGUAGGACCACCUAGUCUGUUUAUAUCCUACUGCUAGUCUGGCCAGAUUUUUAUAAGCCUGAAUGAAAUAUCUUCCUAUUCCUAUAAUUAAGAGUUGUCGGAUAAAAUGGAGGAUACCCAAUUUGGUAUGAAUUUCAGAUAAACAAUGAAUGUUUAAGUAUACCCCAUGAAAUAUUUGAGAUAUACUAAUAUUGUUUAUUUGAAACUCGAAUUGGGCAUCCUGAAUUUUUUAUUUGCUCAAUCUGGCCACCUACUUAUAACCAACUUCAAAAGAUGAAACUCCAUAAUAUCAAUUUGCUUUUACUAGGAAUUUAACAUAGUCCCUUGUGUCAUUUAUUGCAAACUAAUAAUAUGGUACAUAACUACCUACCACAAACUUUUUUUACCACACCUGUAACAAAAUUGCAAUACCACAAACAUUUAAUCAGCUUUGAUGACCACAUGAGCUUUGUGUUUUUCAUAUAGGCAUUUAUAGUGAAAAGGCCAGUGUACUUAGCUUUAAAAUAGCAAAUGAAAUUACUUCUGAGUAAAUUGAACCACUGCAGAGAAUGUAUGGAGGAAGAGGGAGAAGAGUGAAAAACUCAUAUUUUUCUUUCCUAAACCCAGAAACUUAUGUGUAUUAACAUUCAUACUUAGGAAGCCUUGAAACACUGAUUUGGAAAUUCAUUCUGGAAAAACAAAGAUAUGGAAAUUGCUUAACCCAAGAACUCUUAAUUGCUUCACCAUAGGUUGAAUACUGGUCAAAUGUAGAAUUCCCAGAAAUGUAUUUACUCUUUGACUUCUAUUUUGUUUGACUCCAAUAUUGCUGAAGAUAGAGUAAGGAAUCUUUAAAAACUGAUUGAAUGCUAAGGAAAUGCUCAAACAUUAGAAACUGUGUUUUUAAAAUUUAUUUAUUUAUUUUGAGACAGGGUCUGACUCUGUCACCCAGGCUGGAGUGCAAUGGUGUGAUCUUUGCUCAGUGCAGCCUUGACCUCCCAGGCUCCAGUGAUUCUCCUACCUCAGCCUCCUGAGUAGCUGGAACUACAGGUUCACACUGCCACACUCAGCUAAUUCUUGUAUUUUUUGUAGAUGGGGUUUCUCCAUCUUGCCCAGGCUGCUCUCAAACUCUUGGCUCAAAUGAUCCUCCAGCCUUCACCUCCCAAAGUAAAGGGAUUACAGGCAUGAGCCACCUAGCCUGGCUGUUUUUUUGUUUGUUUGUUUUGUUUUUUUAACUGAGAAAAUACUAAGCCCUUCUGAAACUUUUAUUAAAUCUUAGCAUAUUGAGUACUACAUAUGGAUACUAAUAUGCUCAGAAAUGUUUUAUUCAAAAUAUUUUCAACUUUAAAAUAAACCACUAUUCAUAAAAAGAGAUGUUAAUUCAUGCAGAGAUCAAUGCCUCAAAUAUACAUAUGAUUUAACUGUAACAUUUAUUUUUAACUUUUUAAAGACAGGGUCUCUCUGUUGCCCAGGCUGGAGUGCAGUGGUAAAAUCAUAGCUCACAGCAGCCUGGAACUCCUGGACUCAAGUGAUCCUCUCACCUCAGCCUCCUGAGUAGUUGGGACUACAGGUGUAUGCCACCAUGCCUGGCUAAUUUUUUAAAAAGUGUUUUACCAUUUUGUUGCUCAGGCUGAUCUUGAACUCCUGGCUUUAAGCUAUCCUCCUUGUCCU
rnacentral:lncRNA from 1 species